rnacentral:rRNA from 1 species
UACGGAGGGUGCAAGCGUUAUCCGGAUUCACUGGGUUUAAAGGGUGCGUAGGUGGGCAAGUAAGUCAGUGGUGAAAUCUCCGGGCUUAACCCGGAAACUGCCAUUGAUACUAUUUAUCUUGAAUACUCUGGAGGUAAGCGGAAUAUGUCAUGUAGCGGUGAAAUGCUUAGAUAUGACAUAGAACACCAAUUGCGAAGGCAGCUUACUACAUAGUUAUUGACACUGAGGCACGAAAGCGUGGGGAUCAAACAGG